GACGAACGCUGGCGGCGUGCUUAACACAUGCAAGUCGAACGGUAAGGCCCUUCGGGGUACACGAGUGGCGAACGGGUGAGUAACACGUGGGUGAUCUGCCCUGCACUUCGGGAUAAGCCUGGGAAACUGGGUCUAAUACCGGAUAGGACCACUGCCUGCAUGGGUGGGGGUGGAAAGCUUUUGCGGUGUGGGAUGGGCCCGCGGCCUAUCAGCUUGUUGGUUGGGUGAUGGCCUACCAAGGCGACGACGGGUAGCCGGCCUGGGAGGGUGACCGGCCACACUGGGACUGAGAUACGGCCCAGACUCCUACGGGAGGCAGCAGUGGGGAAUAUUGCACAAUGGGCGCAAGCCUGAUGCAGCGACGCCGCGUGAGGGAUGACGGCCUUCGGGUUGUAAACCUCUUUCAGCACCGACGAAGCGCAAGUGACGGUAGGUGCAGAAGAAGGACCGGCCAACUACGUGCCAGCCGCCGCGGUAA
rnacentral:rRNA from 1 species